rnacentral:rRNA from 1 species
AAAGAAGCAUGCAAUAAUAAUAUUACAAAGAUACAAUAAUAUAUCACCAUAAGCACACUAUUAUAAUAUAAGUAAAAUCUAUUUUCCUCCCUAUUGUUUAUGAAAGUUUCUCUAAGGAGAAUGAUUAGUGCAUGAUUAAGGGUAGGAUAUCUGUUUGCCAUAUUUGUCUAUCAUUGUAUAUAUUAAUUUGAUUGUUACAAUCUUAUUCGUAUAUCGAAUGAGAGUAACAGAUUGAUAGAUUGACUGAAUAUGCAUUCUAGAUAAUUGAAAAAAAAACUACC